GGACUACUGGGGUUUCUAAUCCUGUUUGCUCCCCACGCUUUCGCGCCUCAGCGUCAGAAACGGGCCAGUGAGCCGCCUUCGCCACCGGUGUUCUUCCCAAUAUCUACGAAUUUCACCUCUACACUGGGAAUUCCACUCACCUCUCCCGUUCUCUAGCCAUGCAGUCUCAAAGGCCAUUCCGAGGUUGAGCCCCGGGAUUUCACCCCUGACUUACAUGACCGCCUACGCGCGCUUUACGCCCAGUAAUUCCGAACAACGCUAGCCCCCUUCGUAUUACCGCGGCUGCUGGCAC
rnacentral:rRNA from 1 species